ensembl:lncRNA
CCAGGGGCUGGCUAUGCUUUGACUAAGCCACACCCCUUCUCAACUUCCACCUCGAGGAGGUCCCCAAAGCCAACCCAAUGGCCAAACAACACGAGAACAAAUGGGCUAUGGCCGGGAAGAGGUCAGGGAGCAAGGGGGCCACGGGGAUCCGGGGCGUGGGACUCGGGCCCCGGCCUGAGUCUUAGGUAUCCGUAGCGCCCUCCUUCUUCCUCCUCUUCGCUGAUUGCAGCUCACAGUAUCAACUUGGACGCAAAGCACAGUUACUCUGCUUUGGAUGGCUUUCACCUCUGGGCUGGACACAGCGUACUGUGCUAUCUCCGGAGAUCUGAAGCACGCGCACAACAUAUACUGUACUGAACUAGGCUAGGACCAGCAGUCUCCUUGUCCUCCCGCGACGAAG